AGGGUUUGAUUAUGGCUCAGGACGAACGCUGGCGGCGUGCCUAACACAUGCAAGUCGAACGGAACUGUUUUGAAAGAUUUCUUCGGAAUGAAUUUGAUUUAGUUUAGUGGCGGACGGGUGAGUAACGCGUGAGUAACCUGCCUUCAAGAGGGGGGAUAACAGUUAGAAAUGGCUGCUAAUACCGCAUAAGCACACAGCUUCGCAUGGAGCAGUGUGAAAAACUCCGGUGGUAUGAGAUGGACCCGCGUCUGAUUAGCUAGUUGGUAAGGUAACGGCUUACCAAGGCGACGAUCAGUAGCCGACCUGAGAGGGUGACCGGCCACAUUGGGACUGAGACACGGCCCAA
rnacentral:rRNA from 1 species